UACAUGGGGUGCAAACGUUGCUCGGAAUUAUUGGGCGUAAAGCGCGCGUAGGCGGUUACUCAAGUCGGAUGUGAAAGCCCUCGGCUUAACUGAGGAAGUGCACCCGAAACUGAGUAGCUAGAGUACUAAAGAGGGUCGCAGAAUUCCCGGUGUAGAGGUGAAAUUCGUAGAUAUCGGGAGGAAUACCGGUGGCGAAGGCGGCAUCCUGGACCGACAUUGACGCUGAUGAGCGAAAGCUAGGGGAGCAAACGGG
rnacentral:rRNA from 1 species